rnacentral:ncRNA from 1 species
UAGAAACUGCCACCGGGUAGUAGAAUGCAGAGCAUUCGUUUACACAUCGUUAGGUCUUGGAAGAUGUGUAGACGGGUGCUUAUUUUUA